AGGAUUAACGCUGGCGGCGUGCCUAACACAUGCAAGUCGAACGAGGUAGCAAUACCUAGUGGCAGACGGGUGAGUAACGCGUGGUCAACCUACCGUUGAGUGGGGGAUAACUAGCCGAAAGGUUAGCUAAUACCGCAUACGUGUCCGAGGGGCAUCCCUUGGCCAUAAAAGGAGCAAUCCGCUCGAUGACGGGACCGCGUCCCAUUAGCUAGAUGGUGGGGUAACGGCCUACCAUGGCACCGAUGGGUAGCUGGUUUGAGAGAGCGACCAGCCACACUGGGACUGAGAAACGGCCCAGACUCCUACGGGAGGCAGCAGUGAGGAAUUUUCCGCAAUGGGCGCAAGCCUGACGGAGCGACGCCGCGUGUGGGAAGAAGGCCUUCGGGUCGUAAACCACUGUCGAAGGGAAGAUAAUGACGGUACCCUUGGAGGAAGCCCCGGCUAACUACGUGCCAGCAGCCGC
rnacentral:rRNA from 1 species